CCCGCUCGGGUCCGUGGUUGCGCCGGACCGACUCCCGCAAGGGGGCCGGCUCGGUUAGCCGAUGCCAGCCGCAGGCCAAACGGUCCACGUAAGACGACUCUUUGUCGAUCGAUCACGGUGCGGCUUAGAGGUAAGUCCUGCCUUCCCGGGGAGCCAGAUGUUCCUCGCCAGAAGAGAAGGGCAUGUAGUGGCAAAGAGCUGCGAAACCCUCAGCAGGCGGAUGUGGGGACGAAGACCAGGUCGGCCGAGCGGG
rfam:Streptosporangium roseum DSM 43021, complete genome.